GUCCACGCUGUAAACGAUGAGGACUAGAUGUUGGUAGGGGAACCUAUCAGUAUCGAAGCUAACGCGAUAAGUCUUCCGCCUGGGAAGUACGGCCGCAAGGUUGAAACUCAACGGAAUUGACGGGGGCCCGCACAAGCGGUGGAGCAUGUGGUUUAAUUCGAUGCAACGCGAAGAACCUUACCUACCCUUGACAUCCUGCGAAGCUGGCUGAGAGGCUGGCGUGCCGAAAGGAGCGCAGAGACAGGUGCUGCAUGGCUGUCGU
rnacentral:rRNA from 1 species